CAGCAGUGGAGCGGUCACAUGGUAGGAUCACAUGACCGUGACGUCAGGUCCUUUCCUAGGAUAAAAACAAGCCGCUACCCAUAGCACAGGCACUAAUGUCAAAGCACAGCUGUUACGACUUCCUGGUUGCACGCGUCCUUCCGCAGAACUCAGUAACCAUAGAGACCAGUGCGAGAAAGCACAAGAGCCAAUAACUCCCGGUGCGUAACACAGUAAUAAGUAUAACACGGGCUAUGGUUCAGUAAUAUUUGCUGAGGCAUAAAAGGCCUUUCUCCGCGUAAGAAACAACUAACUAUCCACCGCUCCUCUGUCUAUGGUAGCAAGUCCUUCCGGUUGGAGGUUUCGCAUUGGCUGCACGAGGGUGGCUCCUGUUUGACAGCAAUGGACGGGCUGCCUGAGGAUGUGCGGCUUUUCCUGCAGCAGCACCCGAGCCUGCAGCUCAUUGCCGGCAAUAAGGUGCGCUGUGUUCUGACUGGGCAUGAGCUUCCCUGCAGACUUCCCGAAUUACAAAGCUUUACCGGAGGGAAGAAGUACCAGAAAUUGACCUGCUCCUCCAGUUCUUUUGACUUCAGCAGCUAUGAACCUCACAUCGUGCCAAGUACUAAAAAUCCGAAGCAGCUGUUUUGCAAGCUGACUCUUCGUCACAUCAACAGGAUCCCAGAGCACGUCCAACGCCAUGUGCAGGGCAAACGUUAUGCCAGAGCUUUGCGGAGAUAUGAGGAGUGCAAGCGGCAGGGUUUGGAGUUCGUCCCCGCUUGUCUCCUGAACAAAAGUAAACCAAAGCAUAAGUCGGGUAGUGAACGGCCCAAAGUCAGAAGGGACGACAUGUGGGAGCCGCAAGAUAGUGAUUCAGAGGAUAGCGACUCGGCAGACAGCAUGAGUGAUUUAUAUCCAGGCUUCAGGAUACCCUUCAUUUAUUCCCGUAAUUCCCAUGAUGGCAGAACAGUUUCUUUUUGUUUUCAACCUGCCUGCAGCCCAGAUGUUUACCCAGAAAAAUCUAGAGAAGGAACAAGCUGACAGUUUUCAGUUGGAUAGUGACGAGGAGGAGAUGGAAGUUAAGCCACCGCAGAAUGCAAAUAAAAGACAGCAGAGACAGAAUGGUCCGACCAAGAAGAAAUUUAAAAAGCAACAUCGCAAAUCCAAGCAUUUCAAAAAGUCGACCACUAAAUAAACGUAUUUUUCUUUUUGUUUUGUA